GACGAACGCUGGCGGCGUGCUUAACACAUGCAAGUCGAACGGAAAGCCCCUUUCGGGGGGACUCGAGUGGCGAACGGGUGAGUAACACGUGGGUGAUCUGCCCUGCACUUUGGGAUAAGCCUGGGAAACUGGGUCUAAUACCGGAUAGGACUACGCGAUGCAUGUCGUGUGGUGGAAAGCUUUUGCGGUGUGGGAUGGGCCCGCGGCCUAUCAGCUUGUUGGUGGGGUGAUGGCCUACCAAGGCGACGACGGGUAGCCGGCCUGAGAGGGUGUCCGGCCACACUGGGACUGAGAUACGGCCCAGACUCCUACGGGAGGCAGCAGUGGGGAAUAUUGCACAAUGGGCGCAAGCCUGAUGCAGCGACGCCGCGUGAGGGAUGACGGCCUUCGGGUUGUAAACCUCUUUCACUAGGGACGAAGCGCAAGUGACGGUACCUAGAGAAGAAGCACCGGCUAACUACGUGCCAGCCGCCGCCGUAAGAC
rnacentral:rRNA from 1 species